GUUGGUGGAUUGAUUUGUCUGGUUGAUUCCGACAACGAACGAGACCCUCGCCGUUAAAUAGAAGCAGUUUCCUUUGGAUUCGGUCUUCUUCUUAACGGGACUUUGCGCGUCUAGUGCAAUUAAGAGAGGGCAAUAACAGGUC
rnacentral:rRNA from 1 species